GUACUCCUCCUUGGUGACCACCCCUUUCGCUGAGCUUGAGAGAGCCUCCGAACCAAGUAGCUUCGUGCUGGACUUCUGGCCGGAGAGAAAUCAUCCAUCGAUCACUCUCGUCUACGGCUGCUUCAUUAUCACAAAUUAUACGUCCGAUUCCAGCGCGAGGGAUAGCGGGGGAGAGUAGAGCGAUGACUUCGGUGGAAGAGGCGCCGGAGAGGAGACUGGAGGAUGGAUCCCGGGGAAAAGAGGCGGCGCUUCCGCCGCGGAGGACGGGCCACAGCGUGUCGUCAUCGUCGCUGCUCCGGAAGCAGUCGGAUCGCUCGAUGCUGUCCAAAGUGAGAAGCGAGCCCCUCAGGCGGCUGCUGGCCAACCUCCAGGAGGUAUUCCUCGGGGCCAAGCUCUCCCCCCUCUUCCCUGCGGUUCCCCUCGCCAUCGCCGCCCAUUGCUUCGAUUUCGGCCGAGCUUGGAUCUUCGCAUUGAGUAUGAUAGGCCUCGCUCCUCUUGCCGAACGGUUGAGUUUUCUAAGCGAGCAAAUCGUGUUUUACGCCGGUCCAACAGUUGGUGGGCUUCUGAACGCCACCUGUGGCAACGCACCCGAGCUAAUAAUCGCCCUGCUGGCCCUCCAAAAGGACAAGAUAGCGGUGCUCAAAUGGUCCCUCCUCGGCUCCGUCCUUUCCAACCUCCUCCUCGUCCUCGGCUCCUCCCUCUUCUGCGGCGGCAUCGCCAAUUUCACCAAGGAACGCCCUUUCGACCGAAAGCAAAGUGACGUGAACUUGAGCCUUCUGCUGCUGGGCGCGCUGUGCUAUAUCUUGGCGUUGGUUUAUGGGCACGCUGCGAGCUUCGGAGAGGGCAAAGCAGGGGCAGGAGCAGUGCUGAACCUCUCGAGAACGUGCAGCAUUGUGAUGCUGGUGGCCUACUUCGGAUGUCUCUUCUUCCAGUUGAAGACCCAUCGCCAACUCUUUGAAGCGCCAGAGGAUGCAGCAGAUAGCGAUGAUGACACUGUUUCAGAUACACCAGUGAUUGGAUUUGCGAGUGCAUUUGCCUGGUUAGUAGGGAUGACUUCUGCAGUUGCAAUUUUGUCAGAUUAUGUUGUUACUACCAUUGAGGCAGCAUCAGAGUCAUGGGGUAUGUCUGUGAGCUUCAUCAGUGUUAUCUUGCUACCUGUUGUUGGAAAUGCAGCAGAACAUGCAGCUGCUAUCAUCUUUGCUUUCAAGAGCAAGAUUCUAUAUGGACAUUAUACAGGACAUCACUUUAGGCAUCACUCUUGGCUCAUCAACUCAGAUAUCCAUGUUUGUGAUUCCAUUAAGUAUAAUUGUGGCAUGGAUAAAGGGUAUCUACAUGGAUCUUGAUUUCGAGCUCUUGGGUACCGGAUCACUGGUUAUGUCGAUCCUUAUAAUUGCCUUCACCCUUCAGGAUGGCACGUGGCACUAUAUGAAGGGUUUUGUUCUCUCACUCUGCUACGUUGUUAUCGGCGCAUCAUUUUUCGUCCUCGGGCCCUCUUUAAAUCAAGCAAAUGCCAUCAACUUGGAUGUCAAAACGGUACCAACAAAAUCUGUAAAGGCAUAGGACAAUAUCUCUCAAACUGGUUUUGUAUCUGGAUAAUGGGUUGCUUUAGUUUUGUCCUUUUUUUAGUUGUUGUAGUUCCAGCGAAGAAAUUCCCUUGUAAGAGUUGUUUUUGAAGAGCAUAAAAAUGGGCAUUCUUCCCAACUAUGAUGUAAGCCGAGCUGAGAGGAGGUAAUAGUAUUCGGAAGUAACUACGACAUUUCUAUGCAUAAUUGAGAAUAUCUACUUAAUAUUGCUGCUAAAA